GACGAACGCUGGCGGCGUGCUUAACACAUGCAAGUCGAACGAAGAGCGAUGGAAGCUUGCUUCUAUCAAUCUUAGUGGCGAACGGGUGAGUAACGCGUAAUCAACCUGCCCUUCAGAGGGGGACAACAGUUGGAAACGACUGCUAAUACCGCAUACGAUCUGACCUCGGCAUCGAGGAUAGAUGAAAGGUGGCCUCUACAUGUAAGCUAUCACUGAAGGAGGGGAUUGCGCCUGAUUAGCUAGUUGGAGGGGUAACGGCCCACCAAGGCGAUGAUCAGUAGCCGGUCUGAGAGGAUGAACGGCCACAUUGGGACUGAGACACGGCCCAGACUCCUACGGGAGGCAGCAGUGGGGAAUCUUCCGCAAUGGACGAAAGUCUGACGGAGCAACGCCGCGUGAGUGAUGACGGCCUUCGGGUUGUAAAGCUCUGUUAAUCGGGACGAAAGGCCUUCUUGCGAAUAGUGAGAAGGAUUGACG
rnacentral:rRNA from 1 species